AUCUACGGCCAUCCCACCCUGAAGGCGCCCCCCCAUCUUGUCUGAUCUCGGAAGCUAAGCAGGGUCAGGCGUGGUUAGUACUUGGAUGGGAGACCACCUGGGACUACCACGUGCUGUAGGCU
rnacentral:rRNA from 1 species